rnacentral:rRNA from 1 species
GACAGAGGUUGCAAGCGUUGUUCGGAAUCACUGGGCGUAAAGGGCGCGUAGGUGGUCGAAUGUGUCUGAUGUGAAAGCCCCCGGCUUAACUGGGGAAGUGCAUCGGAAACUAUUUGACUGGAGUGCAAGAGAGGAUGGCGGAAUUCCCGGAGUAGAGGUGAAAUUCGUAGAUACCGGGAGGAACACCUGAGGCGAAGGCGGCCAUCUGGCUUGUAACUGACACUGAAGCGCGAAAGCACGGGGAGCAAACAGG